UACGGAGGGGGCUAGCGUUGUUCGGAAUUACUGGGCGUAAAGCGCGCGUAGGCGGACCUGCAAGUCGGGGGUGAAAGCCCGAGGCUCAACCUCGGAACUGCCUUCGAUACUGCGGGUCUCGAGUCCGGGAGAGGUGAGUGGAAUUCCUAGUGUAGAGGUGAAAUUCGUAGAUAUUAGGAAGAACACCGGUGGCGAAAGCGUUCUGCUGGGCUGCGACUGACACUGAGGGACGAAAGCUAGGGGAGCGAAUGGG
rnacentral:rRNA from 1 species